UGCUCAACAACGGAACUGCCCUGGAUACUGUGAGGCUUGAGUACAGACGAGGUUGGCGGAAUGGACCGAGUAGCGGUGAAAUGCAUAGAUACGGUCAGAACCCCGAUUGCGAAGGCAGCUGACUAGGCUGUUACUGACGCUGAGGCACGACAGCGUGGGGAGCGAACAGGAUUAGAUACCCUGGUAGUCCACGCCGUAAACGAUGGAUACUCGCUGCGGGCUAAAGAUUGUCCGUGGCUUAGGGAAACCGAUAAGUAUCCCACCUGGGGAGUACGCCGGCAACGGUGAAACUCAAAGGAAUUGACGGGGGCCCGCACAAGUGGUGGAGCAUGUGGUUUAAUUCGAUGAUACGCGAGGAACCUUACCUAGGCUAGAAUGCGCGUGACCGGCUCAGAGAUGAGCCUUUCCUUCGGGACACAAAGCAAGGUGCUGCAUGGCCGUCGUCAGCUCGUGCCGUGAGGUGUUGGGUUAAGUCCCGCAACGAGCGCAACCCCUAUGGUUAGUUGCCAGCACGUAAUGGUGGGGACUCUAGCCAGACUGCCUGCGCAAGCAGUGAGGAAGGCGGGGACGACGUCAGGUCAUCAUGGCCCUUACGCCUAGGGCGACACACGCGCUACAAUGGACGGUACAGCGGGUAGCUACCAGGCGACUGGAUGCCAAUCUCGAAAAGCCGUUCUCAGUUCGGAUCGGAGUCUGCAACUCGACUCCGUGAAGCUGGAAUCACUAGUAAUCGCGCAUCAGCCAUGGCGCGGUGAAUACGUUCCCGGGCCUUGUACACACCGCCCGUCAAGCCAUGAAAGUCUGGUAGACCUGAAGCUGGUGCUCGUCACAGAAGCCAGUA
rnacentral:rRNA from 1 species